AUUGAACGCUGGCGGCAGGCCUAACACAUGCAAGUCGAACGAGUGGCGGACGGGUGAGUAAUGUCUGGGAAACUGCCUGAUGGAGGGGGAUAACUACUGGAAACGGUAGCUAAUACCGCAUACCAUCAGAUGUGCCCAGAUGGGAUUAGCUUGUUGGUGGGGUAACGGCUAACCAAGGCGACGAUCCGUAGCUGGGCUGAGAGGAUGACCAGCAACACUGGAACGGAGACACGGUCCAGACGCCGACGGGAGGCAGCAGUGGGGAAUAUUGCACAAUGGGCGAAAGCCUGAUGAAGCCAUGCCGCGUGUGUGAAGAAGGCCUUCGGAUUGUAAAGUACUUUCAGCUGGGAGGCGUUACCCACAGAAGAAGCACCGGCUAACUCCGUGCCAGCAGCCGCGGUAAUAC
rnacentral:rRNA from 1 species